rnacentral:rRNA from 1 species
CCCUUAGAUGUCCUGGGCCGCACGCGCGCUACACUGAGUGUCUGAGAUACGAGUCUGCCUAGCCGGCGAGGUCUAGGUAAUCGCUGAAAGACACAUCAUGCUUGGGAUAGAUUAUUGCAAAUAUUAAUCUUGAACGAGGAAUUCCUAGUAAGCGCAAGUCAACAGCUUGCGUUGAUUACGUCCCUGCCCUUUGUACACACCGCCCGUCGCUACUACUGAUUGGAUGUUUAAGCGAGGUUCUCGAACUGCUAGCGACUUAGCUUCGGUGAGGUCGCAGUGUGGGAAGUGAACCUAGCUUUGGUGUCUAGAGGAAGUAAAAGUCGUAACA